CGCUUUUCUUCCCUUUCUUCUCAAUCUCACUUUAAGGUUUAGGGCUGAACCACCACCGUCGAGCCAUCUACCAUCGAGCCUUCAUGCUCAAUCGUCCCUCGUGCUUACCACCGCCACGCCGUCCAUUGUUACACUGUCCCAGACCUUCGAAGAUCUGUUAUCCACGUUGCACCGUCCGAGAUGUUCGGAAAUCUACCGAACACCAAUCUGGCAACCUCUUCGUCAUCCAAUGGAAAAUAUAAACCCUAACCUUCGCGUGACAGCGGCGAACCCACUGGAACAGCAAACGGACACGUCAGAGAAAUGCCGCCAAGUACUUCUUCGAAAUUGUCUUAAAAUUCUGCUGAGAAAGUUAGACUAGAUAGAUCACCGUCGUCGGACGUCCACAUUGCCUUUCAGUUACUAUGAAGGCCGUUCGCCUUCUCUUUUCCCUUAGACCAGUAGCUACCUCGCCUUCGCAUCGGUAGCGUUAUUCUCUUUGUCUUCAUCAUUAAUCACUAAAUCGAUGAACUCUGUCGCCACGCUAAGGCAAAGAAGCAAGGUUCUAUAUACAAAAAUCAGCCGAAAUUUACGUGGGAGUCUGCUAAUUUCUUUGGUACAGUUGAACGGCCCCUUAAAGUGAUUACUUGGAACUGUUGCACAGUUAUGGCUUGGACAAUUUUUCGUGCAAAGUCUCUCCAGAUUCUAACAGCAGUUUUAGGGACUUCCUCCAUGUCUUUCUUUGAGGGAAUUGAGAUGCGGAAAGAUGAAAUUAUUCUCAAGUAUUGGUUGAUGCUGAGUAUGACCCCCUGAUUCUAAAAGAACAGAAAACAGAACUGGUGGAGCUCAAAUUUAUUGAUUCAUUGUUUAUGCAAAUGGAGAAUCUGAAUGAACUAAAUGUUUUUGUUAUCUUGACCUUUUUUCUCCAGGAAUUAAUGUGCUUCAAUCUAUACGAUGGGAAAGGAAUCUCCAUUUUGUUUGUUGUUUGGAUUUCUUUUCUCAUACUUCAAGUUUUGAAGGUCUCUUUGCAGGACAAAAAGCACUUGAUGUUUUCAAUGGUCAAAUGCAAUGGUAUAUUUGUAUAUAUUUUUUACUUCAGUAGAGGUAGCUUGACAUUGAGUUUAGGGAAUCUGCUAAUGAACAGAGAUGGAGUGUGCAAAGCGAGAGGGCAAUAGUUACAGAAAUUGCUGGAACUACCAGGGAUGUAAUUGAAGCAAAUGUAACAGUUUCUGGCAUUCCUAUGACUCUUCUUGAGAUAGCUGGAAUUAGGGAAACAAAUGACAUUGUAGAAAAGAUUGGAAUCGUGCAGAGAAGUUCAAGUUGUAAUCAAUUAUUGGAAACCUCAGGCUUCGUGAAUUGAAACAGCUUGAUGAGUACUUUUGUAUGUUUAUUCAUUUUUGUGAAUGAUGUUCUGUAUUUAAUUGUUAGUCCUUGAAUUUGAGGUCGCUACAUUCACAAAUAUGAAUAUGUAUUUAGUGAAGGAACUUUCUGUUGUACGUAUACAUUGGUUAUUAAUCACGAUCUUAUAUAUUAUUUUUAUAUUUUUGAGUU